GGCGGCGUGCUUAACACAUGCAAGUCGAACGAGACGAUUGAAAGCUUGCUUUUGAAAGUCGAGUGGCAAACGGGUGAGUAACGCGUAGGCAACCUGCCCUUCAGAUGGGGACAACACUUCGAAAGAGGUGCUAAUACCGAAUGACGUUGGUUUCCGCAUGGAGAAUCAACCAAAGGCCGGGCAACCGGUCACUGAAGGAUGGGCCUGCGUCUGAUUAGCUAGUUGGUAAGGUAACGGCUUACCAAGGCGACGAUCAGUAGCCGGUCUGAGAGGAUGAACGGCCACAUUGGGACUGAGACACGGCCCAAACUCCUACGGGAGGCAGCAGUGGGGAAUCUUCCGCAAUGGGCGAAAGCCUGACGGAGCAACGCCGCGUGAGUGAAGAAGGUUUUCGGAUCGUAAAGCUCUGUUGUCAGGGACGAGAGAGUCUGUCAGGAAAUGGGCAGGCUAGGACGGUACCUGGCGAGAAAGCCACGGCUAACUACGUG
rnacentral:rRNA from 1 species